GGAAAUGUAGCUCAGUGGUAGAGCAUUUGUCUAACAUACAUGAGGUCCUAGGUUCAAUCCCUAGGACCACCA
rnacentral:tRNA from 1 species